UACGUAGGGCGCAAGCGUUGUCCGGAAUUAUUGGGCGUAAAGAGCUCGUAGGCGGCCUGUUGCGUCCGCUGUGAAAUCCCGGGGCUCAACCCCGGGCGUGCAGUGGAUACGGGCUGGCUGGAGGCAGGCAGGGGAGAACGGAAUUCCUGGUGUAGCGGUGAAAUGCGUAGAUAUCGGGAGGAACACCAGUGGCGAAGGCGAUCAUCUGGGGUUGUUCUGACACUGAGGAGCGAAAGCUAGGGGAGCACACGGG
rnacentral:rRNA from 1 species